GUACUGAUGAAGAAUCGCAGACUAGGACGAAACAGCUGUCCAGUAC
rnacentral:hammerhead_ribozyme from 1 species